rnacentral:rRNA from 1 species
GACGAACGCUGGCGGCGUGCUUAACACAUGCAAGUCGAACGAAAAGAGGGAAAGAGCUUGCUCUUUCCGGAAUUGAGUGGCAAACGGGUGAGUAACACGUAAACAACCUGCCUUCAGGAUGGGGACAACAGACGGAAACGACUGCUAAUACCGAAUAAGUUCCAAGGGCCGCAUGGCCCAUGGAAGAAAAGGUGGCCUCUACCUGUAAGCUAUCGCCUGAAGAGGGGUUUGCGUCUGAUUAGCUGGUUGGAGGGGUAACGGCCCACCAAGGCGACGAUCAGUAGCCGGUCUGAGAGGAUGAACGGCCACACUGGAAUUGAGACACGGUCCAGACUCCUACGGGAGGCAGCAGUGGGGAAUCUUCCGCAAUGGGCGAAAGCCUGACGGAGCAACGCCGCGUGAGUGAUGACGGACUUCGGGUUGUAAAACUCUGUGAUCCGGGACGAAAAGGCAGAGUGCGAAGAACAAACUGCAUUGACGGUACCGGAAAAGCAAGCCACGGCUAACUACGUG